rnacentral:rRNA from 1 species
AUUAGAUCUCAAAUCAGGUAGGACUACCCGCUGAACUUAAGCAUAUCAAUAAGCGGAGGAAAAGAAACUAACAAGGAUUCCCCUAGUAGCGGCGAGCGAAGCGGGAAGAGCUCAAAUUUAUAAUCUGGCACCUUCGGUGUCCGAGUUGUAAUCUCUAGAAAUGUUUUCCGCGUUGGACCGCACACAAGUCUGUUGGAAUACAGCGGCAUAGUGGUGAGACCCCCGUAUAUGGUGCGGACGCCCAGCGCUUUGUGAUACAUUUUCGAAGAGUCGAGUUGUUUGGGAAUGCAGCUCAAAUUGGGUGGUAAAUUCCAUCUAAAGCUAAAUAUUGGCGAGAGACCGAUAGCGAACAAGUACCGUGAGGGAAAGAUGAAAAGCACUUUGGAAAGAGAGUUAACAGUACGUGAAAUUGUUGGAAGGGAAACGCUUGAAGUCAGACUUGCUUGCCGAGCAAUCGGUUUGCAGGCCAGCAUCAGUUUUCCGGGAUGGAUAAUGGUAGAGAGAAGGUAGCAGUUUCGGCUGUGUUAUAGCUCUCUGCUGGAUACAUCUUGGGGGACUGAGGAACGCAGUGUGCCUUUUGGCGGGGGUUU